rnacentral:rRNA from 1 species
GACGAACGCUGGCGGCGUGCUUAACACAUGCAAGUCGAACGGACAGACCCUGCUCUUGUGGGUUGCUCGUGUGGCGAACGGGUGAGUAUCACGUGUGUAUCCUGCCCUUGUCUGUGUGAUAACUCUUGGAAAAUCGGGCUAUAACCGGAGAUGAGCUCUUGCUGCGUAUGGUGGGUUGGAAAGAGUCGGCGGUUGGGGAUGGACUCGCGGCUUAUCAGCUUGAUUGUCUGGUAGUGGCUUACCAAGGCUUUGACGGAUAGCCGGCCUAAGAGGGUUGACGGCGACAAUGGGACUGCGAUACGGCCCAGUCGCCUAUGGGAGGCAACAGUCGAGAGUCUGGCGGAGUGACCGCGAGCCUGAGGUAGCGACGCCGCGUGCGGAAUGAUCUGCUUCGGGUUGUAAACCGAUGUGGACUGUGACGAAGAGGGAGUGACGGUAACGGGUAAAGAAGCACCGGCUAACUACGUG